GUAGGUGGCAAGCGUUGUCCGGAAUUAUUGGGCGUAAAGCGCGCGCAGGGCGGUCCUUUAAGUCUGAUGUGAAAGCCCACGGCUCAACCGUGGAGGGUCAUUGGAAACUGGGGGACUUGAGUACAGAAGAGGAAAGCGGAAUUCCAAGUGUAGCGGUGAAAUGCGUAGAGAUUUGGAGGAACACCAGUGGCGAAGGCGGCUUUCUGGUCUGUAACUGACGCUGAGGCGCGAAAGCGUGGGGAGCAAACAGGAUUAAAUACCCUGGUAGUCCACGCCGUAAACGAUGAGUGCUAAGUGUUAGGGGGUUUCCGCCCCUUAGUGCUGCAGCUAACGCAUUAAGCACUCCGCCUGGGGAGUACGGCCGCAAAGGCUG
rnacentral:rRNA from 1 species